GGUACAGAGGGAUGCUACCGGGCGACCGGAUGCGGAUCUCGAAAGCCUGUCCCAGUUCGGACUGGAGUCUGCAACCCGACUCCACGAAGUUGGAUUCGCUAGUAAUCGCGCAUCAGCCAUGGCGCGGUGAAUACGUUCCCGGGCCUUGUACACACCGCCCGUCAAGCCAUGGGAGCCGGGGGCGCCUGAAGUCCGGGACCGCGAGGACCGGCCUAGGGCGAAACUGGUAACUGGGACUAAGUCGUAACAAGGUACC
rnacentral:rRNA from 1 species